AUUGAACGCUGGCGGCAGGCUUAACACAUGCAAGUCGAGCGAGCGGCGGACGGGUGAGUAAUGUCUGGGACACUGCCUGAUGGAGGUGGAUAACUACUGGAAACGGUAGCUAAUACCGCAUACCAUCAGAUGUGCCCAGAUGGGAUUAGCUAGUCGGUGGGGUAAUGGCCCACCUAGGCGAAGAUCCCUAGCUUGUCUGAGAGGCUGACCAGCCACACUGGAACUGAGACACGGCCCAGACUCCUACGGGAGGCAGCAGUGGGGAAUAUUGCACAAUGGGCGCAAGCCUGAUGCAGCCAUGCCGCGUGUGUGAAGAAGGCCUUCGGGUUGUAAAGCACUUUCAGCGGGGAGGCGUUACUCGCAGAAGAAGCACCGGCUAACUCCGUGCCAGCAGCCGCGGUAAUAC
rnacentral:rRNA from 1 species